UACAGAGGUCUCAAGCGUUGUUCGGAUUCAUUGGGCGUAAAGGGUGCGUAGGCGGCGCGGUAAGUCGGGUGUGAAAUUUCGAGGCUUAACUUCGAAACUGCAUUUGAUACUGGCGUGCUUGAGGACUGGAGAGGAGACUGGAAUUCACGGUGUAGCAGUGAAAUGCGUAGAGAUCGUGAGGAAGACCAGUGGCGAAGGCGGGUCUCUGGACAGUUCCUGACACUGAGGCACGAAGGCCAGGGGAGCAAACGGG
rnacentral:rRNA from 1 species